rnacentral:rRNA from 1 species
GGGUUGUGAGGUUAAGCGACUAAGCGUACACGGUGGAUGCCCUGGCAGUCAGAGGCGAUGAAGGGCGUGCUAAUCUGCGAUAAGCGCCGGUAAGGUGAUAUGAACCGUUAUAACCGGCGAUACCCGAAUGGGGAAACCCAGUGUGACUCGUCACACUAUCAUUAACUGAAUCCAUAGGUUAAUGAGGCGAACCGGGGGAACUGAAACAUCUAAGUACCCCGAG